CACGUAGGGUGCGAGCGUUGUCCGGAAUUAUUGGGCGUAAAGAGCUCGUAGGCGGUGUGUCGCGUCGGCCGUGAAAACCUGCAGCUUAACUGUGGGCGUGCGGUCGAUACGGGCAUCACUGGAGUUCGGCAGGGGAGACUGGAAUUCCUGGUGUAGCGGUGAAAUGCGCAGAUAUCAGGAGGAACACCGGUGGCGAAGGCGGGUCCCUGGGCCGAUACUGACGCUGAGGAGCGAAAGCGUGGGGAGCGAACAGG
rnacentral:rRNA from 1 species